rnacentral:rRNA from 1 species
CCCUAUUAUUUUAGAAUGUUAAGUUUGUUGUACCUGAGUAGUAAUAGUUAUGUUCUUGAAACUUAAAGAAUUUGGCGGUAUCUCAUUCCGUCUAGAGGAAUCUGUCCCGUUAUCGAUAGUCCGCGUUGGACCUUACUUAUAUUGGUUUGGUUUGUAUACCGCCGUUUAUUGAUUAUCUUUUUAGAGGUUGUGUUAAUUUUCUGGUUUCUUUAUUUUGAUGUAUUUCAGGUCAAGGUGCAGCCUGUUUUUAAGUGGAAUGAUGGAUUACAUUGUUAUUUGUUUGUGGAUUAUUAAUUUUAAUAUUGAUAUGAAAUUGGAUUUAGUUGUAAUGGUUUGUAGAUUGUUAUUAUGAUAAUUGGUUCUGGGAUAUGCACACAUCGCCCGUCGCUCUCGUUUUGAUUUAUAAUGAGAUAAGUC